UUCUUCAAUUUGUUUUUAUUUUACAGAAAAUGUUGUCGUCGAUAUUCAGUAGUUUUUUUUUAUAAAAAUACAAUAGUACGCAAAUUUGGUAAAAAUUGAUGUUCGGUUCUCAAAUUAAUUUCAUUCAUCCAAUUUAUAAAAAUAAGGAAAAUCUAUCAAAACUGGAUUUGGAACUAAAAUAUUUCUUUAGAUGAAAAAUAAUGUUGCAAGACAAAUCGACAGACGGGAUGGGAAGUUAUCAGUGCGGGUCGCAUCCCAGCCUCUUUUAUCAAAUGGGUUCAAGACUUAACUUAAACGAACAACUUAUACUCGAUCAAAGUCUUAAUUUAAGAUAUUUAAUUAAUUUAAAUUAAAACAAAACGGAUUCACAGCGAUUAAAUCGUCUUAAGUUAAUACUGAAACCCAAAUUA